rnacentral:lncRNA from 1 species
CCCACUCACCUGUCAAUCCGGCACAGCCCUGAUACGCCUCCAAAAAUCUACAGCAGGCAGUGGGGAACUUCUUCCUCUUGUUUCCUAGCUUCUUGCCCAACUGUGACAUGCAUUUACAAUACAUUUAGUCUUGUAUCAAGGGCCAUAAUCUACGUGCCAAUUAUAAUAUAGGAAACUUUAAUUGAUUCAACUCCCCCGUUCCCUAAAUCUUUUCUUUUCUUUCUCUUUUUCUUUUUCUAUUAAUUAACUCAUCAUUUAUGUAUAUUAGGGACUCCCUUGCACGAGUACAAGGUUUCCCUUAGCCUAAUCUAGGCUUAAUACCCUAUUUUGGCAUAAAAUUUCUUAUUUUCCCACUCGGAUGAACAGUAACCUGGACCGACAGCCGGUUACUUCAUCCCGGGUUUGAUCUACUUUUAGGACUCCAAAUUUGAUGAAAUUUUUACCUAACAUUCUACACUCAUAGAGGAUUCCAAAGAG